AAUACCAAUACUUUGAUUAAAGAAGAUGGGGAAUUCCAGCAUGAAAAGAUCAAACCUUACACUAGAAAAUGGGAAACAAGUGUUAUGGAUACAAUUGAUCAAUUAGACCUCAUAUCAAAGCAAGAAAAAUCUGCAGUUCACCACCAAUGUGAUGUCACACAUCAUGUACCGGCGGUGAACUGCAGAUUUUUCUUGCUUUGAU
rnacentral:misc_RNA from 1 species